UCCAGACGCUGGCCUAUGGGCUCCCCAUUCAACCCAUCUUGAAACACGAUCCAAGGAGUCUGAAAUGUGUGCGAGUCAACGGGCGAGUAAACCCGUAAGGCGUAAGGAAGAUGAUUGGUGGGAUCCCCCCGAGGCAUGCACUGCCGACCGACCUUGAUCUUAUGAGAAGGAUUCGAGUGUGAGCAUACCAGUUGGGACCAGCCUUGCUGCCACGAUCCACAGAGAUUCAGCCCUUUGUCGCUCUGGUUCGUCCCUCCCCAUCCAAUCCAACCACCCUGUCGCCCAUCUCCAAAGGAGGUUCGUGCAUUCGUCCUUGAAAAAUCCCACCAAGUGUUGCGAUCUCACCUCACCCGAGUUAGCCAAGCUUCACGUGAGUUCCACACCGAACAGUUAAGCAUACGAUAUCAAGUGGCCUUUCAUGAAAAACAACGGCAUCGCAACUAGAGGAUUUUUGCGAUUCGGAGUGCGGCAUAAGUGCUCAGCAAAUCGCCGAGAACAACAUCGGUGUGUGGAGGCAUGCCGCAAUUAGAGGUUUUUGUGACCAUCGAGUGCAAUGCUGGAGACGCCUCCAAUGACGAACGUUGACGGACGUAUAGUGGCCUGCCAUGGUGGUGUCUUUGUCAAGUUGGAUAUCCGUGCAUCGUGGCACCAAGGCAGUUUGGCACUGUGGCGCCAUGGCGCCAUUGAAGCAAGGCACCGUGGCGCCAUGGCACCAAGUCACCAAAGCGCCAUGGCUCCGUGGCGCCAUGGAACCAAGGCACCAAGGCACCGUUGCGCCAUGGCACCAAGGCACCGUGGCGCCAUGGCACCAAGGCGCCAAGGCACCAAGGCACCGUGGCCUUCGGGAUCGUAGUAAUGAUCAAUAGGGACAGUCGGGGGAAUUCGUAUUUCAUAGUCAGAGGUGAAAUUCUUGGAUUUAUGAAAGACGAACAACUGCGAAAGCAUUUUCCAAGGAUGUUUUCAUUAAUCAAGAACGAAAUUUGGGGGAUCAAAGGGGAUCAAAUAUCAUCCUAGUCUCAACCAUAAACGAUGCUGACCAGGGAUCAGCGGAUGUUGCUUUUAGGACUCCACCGGCACCUUAUGAGAAAUCAAAGUUUUUGGGUUCCGGGGGGAGUAUGGUCACAAGGCUGACACUUAAAGGAAUUGACGGAAGGGCACCACCACAAGUGGAGCCUGCAGCUUAAUUUGACUCAACACGGGGAAACUUACCAGAUCCAGACAUAGUAAGGAUAGACAGACUGAGAGCUCUUCCUUGAUUCUAUGGGUGGUGGUGCAUAACCGUUCUUAGUUGGUGGAGCGAUUUGUCUGGUUAAUUCCAUUAACGAACGAGACCUCAGCCUGCUAACUAGCUACGCAGAGGUAUCCCUUCGAGGCCAGCUUCUUAGAGGGACUACGGCCUUUCAGGCCAUGGAAGUUUGAGGCAAUAGCAGGUAUGUGAUGACCUUAGAUGCUCUGGGACGCACGCGCACUACACUGAUGUAUUCAACGAGUUUAUAGCCUUGGCCGACAGGCUCGGGUAAUCUUUGAAAUUUCAUGGUGAUGGGGAUAGAUCAUUGAAAUUGUUGGUCUUCAACGAGGAAUUCCUAGUAAGCGCGAGUCAUCAGCUCGCGCUGACUACGUCCCUGCCAUUUGUACACAUUUCCCGUUACUCCUACCGAUUGAAUGAUCCGGUGACAUGUUUGGAUCGCGGCGACGAUGGGGUAUUGUAAGUGGUAGAGUGGCCUUACUGCGACGAUCCACUGAGAUUCAGCCCUUUC
rnacentral:rRNA from 1 species